UACGUAGGGUGCGAGCGUUGUCCGGAAUUACUGGGCGUAAAGAGCUCGUAGGUGGUUUGUCGCGUUGUUCGUGAAAACUCACAACUCAAUUGUGGGCGUGCGGGCGAUACGGGCAGACUGGAGUACUGCAGGGGAGACUGGAAUUCCUGGUGUAGCGGUGGAAUGCGCAGAUAUCAGGAGGAACACCGGUGGCGAAGGCGGGUCUCUGGGCAGUAACUGACGCUGAGGAGCGAAAGCAUGGGGAGCGAACAGG
rnacentral:rRNA from 1 species